UACAGAGGUCUCAAGCGUUGUUCGGAUUUAUUGGGCGUAAAGAGCUCGUAGGCGGCUUGUCGCGUCGACUGUGAAAACCCGUGGCUCAACCAUGUGGUCUGCAGUCGAUACGGGCAGGCUAGAAUUCGGUAGGGGAGACUAGAAUUCCUGGUGUAGCGGUGAAAUGCGCAGAUAUCAGGAGGAACACCGGUGGCGAAGGCGGGUCUCUGGGCCGAUAUUGACGCUGAGGAGCGAAAGCGUGGGGAGCGAACAGG
rnacentral:rRNA from 1 species